AUGAACGCUGGCGGCGUGCUUAACACAUGCAAGUCGAACGAAGCAUUUACGACAGAUUUCUUCGGAUUGAAGUUGUUUAUGACUGAGUGGCGGACGGGUGAGUAACGCGUGGGUAACCUGCCUCAUACAGGGGGGAUAGCAGCUGGAAACGGCUGGUAAUACCGCAUAAGCGCACAGCAUCACAUGAUGCAGUGUGAAAAACUCCGGUGGUAUAAGAUGGACCCGCGUCUGAUUAGCUAGUUGGUGAGGUAACGGCCCACCAAGGCGACGAUCAGUAGCCGGCCUGAGAGGGUGAACGGCCACAUUGGGACUGAGACACGGCCCAAACUCCUACGGGAGGCAGCAGUGGGGAAUAUUGCACAAUGGGGGAAACCCUGAUGCAGCGACGCCGCGUGAGUGAUGAAGUAUUUCGGUAUGUAAAACUCUAUCAGCAGGGAAGAUAAUGACGGUACCUGACUAAGAAGCACCGGCUAAAUACGUG
rnacentral:rRNA from 1 species